AUUGAACGCUGGCGGCAUGCCUUACACAUGCAAGUCGAACGGUAACGGGCCUUCGGGUGCCGACGAGUGGCGGACGGGUGAGUAAUGCAUCGGAACGUACCUUUCAGUGGGGGAUAACGUAGCGAAAGUUACGCUAAUACCGCAUAUUCUGUGAGCAGGAAAGCAGGGGAUCGCAAGACCUUGCGCUGAUUGAGCGGCCGAUGUCAGAUUAGCUAGUUGGUGAGGUAAAGGCUCACCAAGGCGACGAUCUGUAGCGGGUCUGAGAGGAUGAUCCGCCACACUGGAACUGAGACACGGUCCAGACUCCUACGGGAGGCAGCAGUGGGGAAUUUUGGACAAUGGGGGCAACCCUGAUCCAGCCAUGCCGCGUGAGUGAAGAAGGCCUUCGGGUUGUAAAGCUCUUUCGGUCGGGAAGAAAUCGCAUGGGUUAGUACCCUGUGCGGAUGACGGUACCGGCAUAAGAAGCACCGGCUAACUACGUGCCAGCCGCCGCCGUAAAAC
rnacentral:rRNA from 1 species